rfam:Triticum aestivum genome assembly, contig: Triticum_aestivum_CS42_TGACv1_scaffold_573051_7AS
CUUGUACUCCCUCUGUCCGAAAAUACUUGUCAUUGAAAUGGAUGUAUCUAGAUGUAUUUUAGUUCUAGACACAUCCAUUUUGAUGACAAGUAAUUCCGGACGAAGGGAGUACUUG